rfam:Microgenomates (Roizmanbacteria) bacterium GW2011_GWA2_32_13 TR23_C0036, whole genome shotgun sequence.
GGCCACGUGGCAGAAUGGCUUAUGCUGCGGCCUGCAAAGCCGCCUAUACCGGUUCAAUUCCGGUCGUGGCCU